GAGCAUCAAGACUUGCAGACAUGAUGAUUAAUUUCAACGGAGAACUCUUAUCGCGGUGGUCUUUCUUAAGAAAAUUGCCAUUCUGACCAUUGUCUUUAUCCAAUGACAUGAAACCAUUCACAUUCUUGUCCCCAUUAUUAAGGUGCCGACCAUCGCUGGUAGAAUUUGACCGAGCAAGUUGGACAUUUUUUAGCAAGCCCAUCAAGACAUCAGUGUGGACGGUUCUCUCGUGCGCUUCAUCAACAAUUAUAACAGAAUACUUAGAAAGAUAAGGAUCCAGCAAUGCUUCCCUGUAAACACAAAUAUAAAAAAUGCUUAUGAAAUCUUCCAUAAGAAAAAUUGUACUGGUAAACCAUGAAAAACAGGAAAUUGUAAUUGGAAACCUCCUUAACUGUUUCAAAAGUUCAAAUCAUAUAAACCAUCUUAAACCCAUAUCAAUGACAGGAAAGGGGAUGUUACUCACCUAUCAUCUAAUACAAUUGACUCAAAAAAAUUUAUAUAAUAUCUUUUGUAGUUUGACAUCAAGAACGGAAUUAAAAAAAAAAAAAACAAUUAUUGUAUCAUGUCUUGAUAGGAAAUAGUCGCAGUAAUCUAAGAUAUGCAAAAGUUGUACCUCAGGAGCAAUCCAUCUGUCAUAUAUUUGAUCCUUGUUGAGUUGGAAGUAGAAUCAUCAAAUCUAACAGAGUAUCCAACCUUUUGGCCCAAAUCAACACCACAUUCAUCAGCAACUCGUUUGGCCACAGUGACAGCUGCAACACGUCUAGGCUGAGUUAUGCCAACAACUUUUCCUUCGCGGCAAAAUCCAGCAUCAAAUAAAAACUGCGGAAUCUCUACACAGUACAAUACAAUAGACAUAAACACAGUGAAACCCUCUAUCUCUAAAAAGCCCUUUUUACUUUCUUCUUAAAAAACUAAAUUAUAAAUAAUACAAUGAUAAUCACAUUGAUUAGAAGGAUAAGAUGUAACCUACGUGUGGUUUUUCCACUUCCAGUUUCACCAACAAUAAUCAAAAUAUCAUUCUUCCGAACCUCUUCAAUUAGUCUCUUCUCAACUACAACGGAAACAAUGCCAAAAGUUACAUAUUGUGAAAGUGGAAGUAAGAACAUGAAAGACAAGAAAAAAAAACUCAAAAAAAAAACAAUACCCGAAGCAAUAGGAAGAGACUUCUUCUGUUGUGCAAUAUUUUGUCUCCUGUAAUAAAAUUAACAGAUUGAAAUCAAACCAACAAGCUUAAACCCUAUUCCAAAUUUUGCCCCUUUUCUCCUAACACUUCAGGUGAUUCUAAAUAUGAAUUAAAAAGGCAUAAAGUUUUAUAUUCCAACAAUUUAUAAACAUGAUUGUUGUUCCGCAAUUGGCUUUGGAGAAAGGAAUGAAAUUUGAUGUGAAUUAGGAGAAGUAAUAGCAGGUAGAGGAAUGGUUUUACCUAUUCCGAUUUGCAUUGGAGGACUUGUCAUUGCCAUUAGCAGUGGGUUGGUGACUUCUACGAGCCACCGAAGGCAUUGGAGAUGGUACUAAAACUUGAGAUUUGAUAUUCAGGUGCUGUGAGUUGUUUCUUUCUGAGUUGAAAGAGGAAGAAGAAAGUGAGUGAUAGAGAGAGAGAGGGUUUGUAAUUAGUUUCUUUAACAGUAUGUUUGUUACGACUCCAGCACUGUUGGUGCAUAUACUCUCGGUAGCGGAGGAGGGGUGAACGGUGAUACGAAGGGAUAGUUAGGUGAAGCGGUGGUGAUGAUGACGGAGACGGCGGUGCCGUGGACUCUGCAAAAGUGUGGGGAACCGUGGAGGGAGGAGGGCGAAUAGGUUAGGAAUAAAUAAAUUUAGUAUUUAAAUUAUAUUAUAUAUUAUAGUGGUGGUGCUUCUCACUUCUUUAGCACCACCAAAGUACUCAGAAAAAGUGCGAGCAUCAAGACUUGCAGACAUGAUGAUUAAUUUCAACGGAGAACUCUUAUCGCGGUGGUCUUUCUUAAGAAAAUUGCCAUUCUGACCAUUGUCUUUAUCCAAUGACAUGAAACCAUUCACAUUCUUGUCCCCAUUAUUAAGGUGCCGACCAUCGCUGGUAGAAUUUGACCGAGCAAGUUGGACAUUUUUUAGCAAGCCCAUCAAGACAUCAGUGUGGACGGUUCUCUCGUGCGCUUCAUCAACAAUUAUAACAGAAUACUUAGAAAGAUAAGGAUCCAGC
rnacentral:lncRNA from 1 species